GGCUCAGAUUGAACGCUGGCGGCAGGCCUAACACAUGCAAGUCGAACGGUAACAGAAAGCAGCUUGCUGCUUUGCUGACGAGUGGCGGACGGGUGAGUAAUGUCUGGGAAACUGCCCGAUGGAGGGGGAUAACUACUGGAAACGGUAGCUAAUACCGCAUAACGUCGCAAGACCAAAGAGGGGGACCUUCGGGCCUCUUGCCAUCGGAUGUGCCCAGAUGGGAUUAGCUAGUAGGUGGGGUAACGGCUCACCUAGGCGACGAUCCCUAGCUGGUCUGAGAGGAUGACCAGCCACACUGGAACUGAGACACGGUCCAGACUCCUACGGGAGGCAGCAGUGGGGAAUAUUGCACAAUGGGCGCAAGCCUGAUGCAGCCAUGCCGCGUGUAUGAAGAAGGCCUUCGGGUUGUAAAGUACUUUCAGCGGGGAGGAAGGGAGUAAAGUUAAUACCUUUGCUCAUUGACGUUACCCGCAGAAGAAGCACCGGCUAACUCCGUGCCAGCAGCCGCGGUAAUACGGAGGGUGCAAGCGUUAAUCGGAAUUACUGGGCGUAAAGCGCACGCAGGCGGUUUGUUAAGUCAGAUGUGAAAUCCCCGGGCUCAACCUGGGAACUGCAUCUGAUACUGGCAAGCUUGAGUCUCGUAGAGGGGGGUAGAAUUCCAGGUGUAGCGGUGAAAUGCGUAGAGAUCUGGAGGAAUACCGGUGGCGAAGGCGGCCCCCUGGACGAAGACUGACGCUCAGGUGCGAAAGCGUGGGGAACAAACAGGAUUAGAUACCCUGGUAGUCCACGCCGUAAACGAUGUCGACUUGGAGGUUGUGCCCUUGAGGCGUGGCUUCCGGAGCUAACGCGUUAAGUCGACCGCCUGGGGAGUACGGCCGCAAGGUUAAAACUCAAAUGAAUUGACGGGGGCCCGCACAAGCGGUGGAGCAUGUGGUUUAAUUCGAUGCAACGCGAAGAACCUUACCUGGUCUUGACAUCCACGGAAGUUUUCAGAGAUGAGAAUGUGCCUUCGGGAACCGUGAGACAGGUGCUGCAUGGCUGUCGUCAGCUCGUGUUGUGAAAUGUUGGGUUAAGUCCCGCAACGAGCGCAACCCUUAUCCUUUGUUGCCAGCGGUCCGGCCGGGAACUCAAAGGAGACUGCCAGUGAUAAACUGGAGGAAGGUGGGGAUGACGUCAAGUCAUCAUGGCCCUUACGACCAGGGCUACACACGUGCUACAAUGGCGCAUACAAAGAGAAGCGACCUCGCGAGAGCAAGCGGACCUCAUAAAGUGCGUCGUAGUCCGGAUUGGAGUCUGCAACUCGACUCCAUGAAGUCGGAAUCGCUAGUAAUCGUGGAUCAGAAUGCCACGGUGAAUACGUUCCCGGGCCUUGUACACACCGCCCGUCACACCAUGGGAGUGGGUUGCAAAAGAAGUAGGUAGCUUAACCUUCGGGAGGGCGCUUACCACUUUGUGAUUC
rnacentral:rRNA from 1 species